AGAGUUUGAUUCUGGCUCAGGAUGAACGCUAGCGGCAGGCUUAACACAUGCAAGUCGAGGGGCAGCGGGAUGUAGCAAUACAUUGCCGGCGACCGGCGGAUGGGUGCGUAACGCGUAUGCAACCUACCUUAUACAGGGGAAUAACCUUUCGAAAGGGAGACUAACACCCCAUAGUAUUGAUUUAAGGCAUCUUAGAUUAAUUAAAUAUUUAUAGGUAUAAGAUGGGCAUGCGUAUGAUUAGCUAGUUGGUAAGGUAACGGCUUACCAAGGCGACGAUCAUUAGGGGUUCUGAGAGGAAGGUCCCCCACACUGGUACUGAGACACGGACCAGACUCCUACGGGAGGCAGCAGUGAGGAAUAUUGGUCAAUGGGCGCAAGCCUGAACCAGCCAUGCCGCGUGCAAGGAAGACGGCCUUAUGGGUUGUAAACUGCUUUUACAUAAGACUAACCGUAUAUUUGCGAAUAUACCUGAAUGUAUUAUGAGAAUAAGGAUCGGCUAACUCCGUGCCAGCCGCAGC
rnacentral:rRNA from 1 species